UUUCCGGUGAUCCCGCCGGACUUACUGCUAUCGGGGGUGAGACUAAAACAUGCAAGUUGCGCGUCUGAGCUAUGGUGGGACGCAGCGUACGGCUCAGUAACACGUGGCUAACCUACCCUUUAGGACUGGAACAACCCCGGGAAACUGGGACUAAUUCCAGAUGAGUGAGGAGGCCUGGAAUGGUUCCUCACUAAAAGGGCGAUAGGACCAUGCUUCCUGUCGUUGCCUAAGGAUGGGGCCGCGGCCGAUCAGGUUGUUGGUGAGGUAAUGGCUCACCAAGCCUAUAACCGGUACGGGCCAUGAGAGUGGUAGCCCGGAGAUGGGCACUGAGACAAGGGCCCAGGCCCUACGGGGCGCAGCAGUUGCGAAAACUCCGCAAUGCGCGAAAGCGUGACGGGGUUACCCCGAGUGCUGUCCGCUGAGGAUAGCUUUUUUCUGGUGUAAUGAGUCAGACGAAUAAGGGGAGGGCAAGACUGGUGUCAGCCGCCGCGGUAAUACCAGCUCCCCGAGUGGUAGGGACGAUUAUUGGGCUUAAAGCGUCCGUAGCUGGCUUGACAAGUCUUUCGUUAAAUCCAGCGACCUAAUCGCUGGGCUGCGGGAGAUACUGCCAGGCUAGGGGGCGGAAGAGGUCGACGGUAUUCUCGGGGUAGGGGUGAAAUCCUAUAAUCCUGAGAAGACCACCAGUGGCGAAGGCGGUCGGCUAGAACGCGCUCGACGGUGAUGGACGAAAGCUGGGGUAGCAAACCGGAUUAGAUACCCGGGUAGUCCCAGCUGUAAACGAUGCGGGCUAGGUGUCGGAGUGGAUACGAGCCGCUUCGGUGCCGCAGGGAAACUGUUAAGCCCGCCGCCUGGGAAGUACGGUCGCAAGACUGAAACUUAAAGGAAUUGGCGGGGGAGCACAGCAACGGGUGGAGCGUGCGGUUUAAUUGGAUUCAACGCCGGG
rnacentral:rRNA from 1 species